rnacentral:rRNA from 1 species
AGCGAACGCUUUCCCCCUUCUUAACACCUUCAAUUCGAUCUUUCACUUCGGUGUCAGCUUCCUACUUUUUCGUAACACGUGGGAACGUACCCUUCGGUUCUUAAUAACGCUGGGAAACUAGCGCUAAUACCGGAUACGCCCUUUUGGGUAAAGGUUUACUGCCGAAGGAUCGGCCCUCUGCUGAUUAGCUAGUUGGUGGGGUAAUGGCCUACCAAGUCGACGAUCAGUAGCUGGUCUGAGAGGAUGAUCAGCCACACUGGGACUGAGACACGGCCCAGACUCCUACGGGAGGCAGCAGUGGGGAAUAUUGGACAAUGGGCGCAAGCCUGAUCCAGCCAUGCCGCGUGAGUGAUGAAGGCAUUAGGGUUGUAAAGCUCUUUUGUCCGGGACGAUAAUGACGGUACCGGAAGAAUAAGCAAAGGCUAACUUCGUG